rnacentral:tRNA from 1 species
GUGGGGCUGGGGCUCAGUGGCAGAGCGCUGGCCUAGCAUGUGUGAGGCGCUGGGUUUGAUCCUCAGCACCACA